rnacentral:rRNA from 1 species
UACGUAGGGUGCGAGCGUUAAUCGGAAUUACUGGGCGUAAAGGGUGCGUAGGCGGGUCUUUAAGUCAGGGUGAAAUCCUGGAGCUCAACUCCAGAACUGCCUUUGAUACUGAAGAUCUUGAGUUCGGAGAGGUGAGUGGAACUGCGAGUGUAGAGGUGAAAUUCGUAGAUAUUCGCAAGAACACCAGUGGCGAAGGCGGCUCUCUGGAACGCAACUGACGCUGAGACGCGAAAGCGUGGGAGCAACAGG